CAGCAGCCGCGGUAAGACAGAGGAUGCAAGCGUUAUCCGGAAUUAUUGGGCGUAAAGGGCUCGCAGGCGGUUUCUUAAGUCUGAUGUGAAAGCCCCCGGCUCAACCGGGGAGGGUCAUUGGAAACUGGGAAACUUGAGUGCAGAAGAGGAGAGUGGAAUUCCACGUGUAGCGGUGAAAUGCGUAGAGAUGUGGAGGAACACCAGUGGCGAAGGCGACUCUCUGGUCUGUAACUGACGCUGAGGAGCGAAAGCGUGGGGAGCGAACAGGAUUAGAUACCCCCGUAGUCCCUGUCUCUUAUAA
rnacentral:rRNA from 1 species